GGGGCUGACAUGGUUUCGACUACGUUGAUUUAGCCAGGGGAAGCGUGCCGGUGAAGGCUGGAGACCACCGUGAGCGUCGCAGCAAACUAAUAAGCGCCGAGAAGUCUCAGCGCGACUACGCCCUCGCUGCAUAAUCCAGCGACCGCGUGUCUGUCAGCCCAGGGGAGUCCCUGACCUGGAUCCUGGCAUCGACUAAGGGACUUGCUGUUCAAUCGCGUCCGCGGGGUUGAAUGGGACUUUUACCGCAGACUGGGCUCAUCAUCCGGAAGUGUUCGUUCUAGCCGGAGGGCCGAGCAGAGAUCAUGCUACGAACUGCGCACGGAGAAGCCCUGGCGAGAUAACGUAGGACCCGGGUUCAAUUCCCGGCAGCUCCACCA
rfam:Corynebacterium callunae DSM 20147, complete genome.